rnacentral:rRNA from 1 species
ACUCAAAGGAAUUGACGGGGACCCGCACAAGCGGUGGAGCAUGUGGUUUAAUUCGACGCAACGCGAAGAACCUUACCUGGGUUAAAUCAAAGCCGGAAGGCACAGAGAUGUGCCCGCCCCUUCGGGGGCGGCUUUGAAGGUGCUGCAUGGCUGUCGUCAGCUCGUGUCGUGAGAUGUUGGGUUAAGUCCCGCAACGAGCGCAACCCUUACCACUAGUUGCCAGCAAGAAAGAUGGGCACUCUAGCGGAACUGCCGGUGAUAAACCGGAGGAAGGUGGGGAUGACGUCAAGUCAUCAUGGCCUCUAUGUCCAGGGCUACACACGUGCUACAAUGGCAGGUACAAACCGUAGCAAACUCGCGAGAGGGAGCCAAUCGGAAAAAGCCUGUCUCAGUUCGGAUCGUAGUCUGCAACUCGACUGCGUGAAGUUGGAAUCGCUAGUAAUCGCAGAUCAGCACGCUGCGGUGAAUACGUUCCCGGGUCUUGUACACACCGCCCGU